CUGAUGAGGUUUUUAAAUACCCUGAUGAGGUUUUAAGACUCUGAUGAUGUUUUAAUACCCUGAUGAGGUUUUAAUACCCUGAUGAGGUUUUAAUACCCUGAUGAGGUUUUAAUACUCUGAUGAGGUUUUAAUACUCUGACAAUGUUUUAAUACACUAAUGAUGUUUUAAUACCCUGAUGAGGUUUUAAUACCCUGAUGAGGUUUUAAUACCCUGAUGAUGUUUUAAUACCCUGAUGAUGUUUUAAUACCCUAAUGAUGUUUUAAUACCCUGAUGAGGUUUUAAUACCCUAAUGAUGUUUUAAUACCCUAAUGAUGUUUUAAUACCCUAAUGAGGUUUUAAUACCCUAAUGAGGUUUUAAUACCCUGAUGAGGUUUUAAUACCCUGACAAUGUUUUUAUACACUGAUGAGGUAAUGAUACACUGAUGAGGUGUUUGAUGUGGACGGAUACAGACGUUUACCCGGUGUUGGUUACAGUUUGUCUAUAUAGUCUCCAACGAUAACAUGGUUUUUGUUGUUUAAUUAUGUCUUGUCUCGGAAACCUGCUUUUCCUGGUAGUUUUCAAAUGAACAGCUGAAAAUCAUCACAAGAUGUUAUGUUUUCAUGUUUGUAAUCAUGAUCUUUGGCGUGGAGACGGCCAAAUCAGUCAGUUGAUUUCGUUCAUUUAGUCUGUGUGUUGUGUCGUCGUGUGUUUGACUGGUAACCGUCAUGAUUUAGCUACCGUUCAUGUGGUUGAGUCUGUGAUUGCUUAGUUCAUAGUUUAUAACAAUUACAUUUAUUMGUUGAAUCACGUCGAGUUAAUUUGAUGUUUCGCCUGUCUACAUUUUUAUGAUUCAAAAGCAUAUGGACAGCGGUGUUUCUUCCAUAUUUUGUUGUUGACAAAUUUAAAUACUGUGACUUGACUUCAGGUACCCAGAAUGAUCAAUAACAGCAGUACAAAUGGAAUAACCAACUGUAGCGUUGGUAGUUUCACAGGUCCUUUCAAGUGCUGUUAGCAUUGYCUUACUCUUCAAAUAAGAUGUACAUCAAUCAUGAUCAUGUUUUUUCAAUCACUUCACCGUGAGGACUUCUUUCUAUUUAAAUCUGCACCUGUAGUGCUGACACCUUUGUCCAGGGGAAUAUGGUWGUCCUGUGUGAGACUUUAACAACACUGGCAUCCAGUCUGUCAAUACAAUCCUCACAGUCUGUAGUCUAACGUGUAAUAGUCUCGGUCUUACACAGUAACUGAAUGUUUAUUCUGUUUUACUAMAAAACACUGACACCAUAUUUAACUGUUCUGUUUUUAAUGCUGUUUGGACUGUUCAUGAUUCCAUGUCAACAUUACUACGACCAGAAGCAAUAAAGUGUAUUUUGAUUCGUU